AUCGCAGGCUGCAACCCGCCUGCGUGAAGUCGGAAUCGCUAGUAAUCGCGGAUCAGCAUGCCGCGGUGAAUACGUUCCCGGGCCUUGUACACACCGCCCGUCACACCAUGAGAGUCGGGAACACCCGAAGUCCGUAGCCUAACAGCAAUGAGGGCGCGGCCGAAGGUGGGUUCGAUAAUUGGGGUGAAGUCGUAACAAGGUACC
rnacentral:rRNA from 1 species